rnacentral:rRNA from 1 species
GACGAACGCUGGCGGCGUGCCUAAUACAUGCAAGUAGAACGCUGAAGAGAGGAGCUUACUCUUCUUGGAUGAGUUGCGAACGGGUGAGUAACGCGUAGGUAACCUGCCUUGUAGCGGGGGAUAACUAUUGGAAACGAUAGCUAAUACCGCAUAACAAUGGAUGACACAUGUCAUUUAUUUGAAAGGGGCAAUUGCUCCACUACAAGAUGGACCUGCGUUGUAUUAGCUAGUAAGUGAGGUAAUGGCUCACCUAGGCGACGAUACAUAGCCGACCUGAGAGGGUGAUCGGCCACACUGGGACUGAGACACGGCCCAGACUCCUACGGGAGGCAGCAGUAGGGAAUCUUCGGCAAUGGGGGCAACCCUGACCGAGCAACGCCGCGUGAGUGAAGAAGGUUUUCGGAUCGUAAAGCUCUGUUGUAAGUCAAGAACGGGUGUGAGAGUGGAAAGUUCACACUGUGACGGUAGCUUACCAGAAAGGGACGGCUAACUACGUG